AUUGAACGCUGGCGGCAGGCCUAACACAUGCAAGUCGAGCGGAUGAAGGGAGCUUGCUCCUGGAUUCAGCGGCGGACGGGUGAGUAAUGCCUAGGAAUCUGCCUGGUAGUGGGGGAUAACGUCCGGAAACGGGCGCUAAUACCGCAUACGUCCUGAGGGAGAAAGUGGGGGAUCUUCGGACCUCACGCUAUCAGAUGAGCCUAGGUCGGAUUAGCUAGUUGGUGGGGUAAAGGCCUACCAAGGCGACGAUCCGUAACUGGUCUGAGAGGAUGAUCAGUCACACGGGAACUGAGACACGGUCCAGACUCCUACGGUAGGCAGCAGUGGGGAAUAUUGGGCAAUGGUCGAAAGCCUGAUCCAGCCAUGCCGCGUGUGUGAAGAAGGUCUUCGGAUUGUAAAGCACUUUAUGUUGUGAGGAAGGGCAGUAAGUUGAUACCUUGCUGUUUUGACGUUACCAACAGAAUAAGCACCGGCUAACUUCGUG
rnacentral:rRNA from 1 species